GACGCAACAUUGCACAGCGCGGGAAAAUUUGUUGUUGACAAUUUAAGUUUAUACUCCCAAAAAAUUGUUUUUUCUCUUUUCAAAUGAAAGUUUUGCUGAAGUAUUGUGUUUAUUUUUGUUUAAUUAAAAGUUUUUAAGCGGCGGCAGUGUUAAUAAGUGAUU
ensembl:ncRNA C09H10.20 ncRNA